rnacentral:RNase_P_RNA from 1 species
AAGGCAGGACGAUCUGUCGCCCGCAAGGGAGGAAAGUCCGGACAGGGAAAGGCACCCCGCUGCGGAAAGCGCAGGAGGGAGUAAUCUUUCGGAGGCCGUAACAGAAAACAACCGCAACGGGAGGCUUUCGGGCCGUUCGCACCGCUGCAAGGGUGAAAACGUGAGGCAAGAGCUCACGACGGCAGAUGGCGACAUCUGUCGGGUACGGCACCGGGGCCUGCAAAACCAAAUAUACCGGCAGAUGAGGGCUGCCCGCCCGAUGCCGGGGGGUAGGUUGCGAAGAUAAAUGACAGAUUUAAAAACAGAAACCGGCUUACAGCCCUGCCUUUUUA